rnacentral:lncRNA from 1 species
GAUCCCCGAAUAACUAAUACAUUUUUUUUUUUCGAUUUUGAGUUAAUCAUAUUAAAAUAAAAAAUUCAAAUAAAAGUAAAGUUCGAAAUAUAUCUUACAUUAAUAUCUAUUACAAAAGUCACAUACAUUAAAUUAGUAAGUAACGCAACAUGCAAGGAAUACAAACUUCUUUUACAAACUAUCAUGAACAAAUUAAUAGUCUAAUACAAAAUUGUUACAAAUAAAAUCAAAUUUAGAUUCAAAAUUAACUUUUUCAAUGGUGGCGUGGGCACUUUAUAAAUGUGGACUAUUCCCUUUACAACACAAUAGUUAAAUCGGAGCAAAUCAAAAGUAAAUAUUAGAUUAGAUUAGAUUAGAU